CUUAAGAAAGAGAAGUUUUAUUAGGGCAAUUUCACUUUAUUUUUCCAUACAGCAAAGUCAACUACUGCAGUAAUAAUAAAAUAAGCAUAAAGUAAAUUGCAGCCCAAGACAAAUACAUAAUUUUAAGCAACUACAAGCAGAAAGUAAGUUGUGAUUACAUAAUAGUAAAACCAAGCACGUCUGUCCUUUCAGCAGGUGAAAGCUGUGGGGUUGCUGAUAAGUGCAACACUGUAACCAGCUGGGGGGAAGGCCGGCUACACUAAUUCAUUCAACAAGUGCCUAUUACAUAUUUGCUGUUUUGAGUGCUUCUGAGUUGAAAAUUAAAACCGUGAAAUUUGAACUGUGUUUUAUUUUUUCACCUGCUGAAAGAACAGGAUCCUACAGCAAUUUAAAAAACAAUCACAUAACAACUAUAGCUACGGUGUGCUGUUUGGUUUGCCUGUUCAUGGUUUAAAUUUUGUGAAAGUCAAUACUUGAUUUGAAGAUUUGUGUGUGUGUGAACAACAGACCACUGAAAUUGGCAGAAACUGAUCUGAAUAGUACAUGUCCUUAGUAUAGUUCUUUCUCUCUUUUUUUGUUGUUGAAGUUUUAAACAUGCAGUAGUUUUGAAAAAAUGUAAGGAAUAUUUGAUCCAUGAUUUCACCUUAAUGGUUGAAGUACCUGCUAUUUUUGGUAAUGAUCUUCAGGCAGAUUUGGCCCAGUGGAGUUUUUGUCAGUCAUGAAAUCUUGGAAGGAUGGCAUAUCUUUCCAGCUGAAAAAAUCCUGGCAAACUACAAGCUGUCCACAAAAAGCAAAGCAACAUGUUUGAAGGGGUUUGGAGUGCUAACUCUGUGCCACUUUUGUAAGCAAUUUUGCUCAGUCUGUCAUUUUAUUAGCCUUAACAAAACUCCUUGUAAUUAUAGACGUUUUUAUUCAAAAUAAGAUCUUACUAUUAUACAGGUUUCUCUCUUUUGACUAUAUACAGAAGUGCAAAAAGUCAACCUUCUCUCUCGACGUUCCAACAUGGUAAAUUGCAGCAUAAUCAACCCUCAAGAGUUUGCACACACGCUAGAAUUCUCAUUACGUAAACCUCGAGUAUUUGGAUUAUCAACAAAAAGUCCCUUGUUCUAUUUAUUGAUUAUGCAGCUUAUUUAUAACAAGGCCUGAUAUUCAGGGAUUUCAAAAAUAUUAAACAAUACUUUAACAUUUGAAAUGGAUACAGUAGAAAAUAAAUUUUAUUCUAAUAUCUAGGAUCUAGAUCUUCUUAUAAUAACUAAUUACAAACAAAAUAAAUCAUCAAAAUAUUACUCAAUUGUCUGCCAGGAUUGUUGCCAUAGCAACAACUUAACUUCUUACUUAGCAAUGAUUAUAUAUUUAUAAGAUAUCCAUAUAAAAGAUCUUUGUUCUUUUAAUGAAAACUAGACAAGAACUAACAAUGACUGACAUUCUUACACUUUAAUAUUAAAUCAGUAAAAUAUAAAUCAUUUAGUUAACAAUAAUACGAAUAUUCAUAUGACACUACAUGUAAUUCAAAACUGAGUAUGUUAUGAAGGAAAGACUACUUUAAUUUUUUUUGUAUUUUGAAAAAUUCAUCGGUAAAAUCUAAUAAAACAAGAGUCUAUAAACUGAAAUGGUAUUCAAUUGUUAAUAGAAAAUGAAAUCUAAUAAAUGUAGGAAAUGAAAAACUACAUUUUAACAAGAAAAAUAAGUAAUAUUCUACAAUGUAACUAACUACAAUAACAUGUGAAGUCACCAUUACUCUCUUAAACACGAUUGAAAUUACAUUGGUAUGGGUUCCAACCCGUAAUGUAAUAAUCUAAGGCUUUAAUAGAUGUACAGUACAAUCGGUGAGAUCAACACAUCAGUCUUAUAUUAGAAAGCGUCUCUCUCAAGCAUAAAAACUUGCGGUAAACUUGGGAGUAUGGUAGGUUCUAUAACCGAACCCUCGCUUCUCCCAUUCCACACGGUAACUACCAGUGACCCGGCCCCGGCUUCAGCAGUGUUCACAACCGCCGAGCAGAGCGAAAUUACCCUUCACUAGCUGCAACAUCCAAACCACAGAAAGGGAAUUCCUUUGGAUGAAUCCAUUCUUAAAAACUGAAUGCACAUCUAUUUUUUUUUUAAUUUUGUAAAAGGCUUUCUAAGGCUAUAAGCAGUUAAUCUGAACGAAACAAAACAAAACAAAUCACAUAUAAAAUUCACCCAUGUACUUAACCCACCCAAUCACUAGGUUAAUUAAACAUUUUCCAUUUUCAUAUUUUGGUUUAUCAUGCAUCUGAUGACAGUGCUGCUUUCUUCUUUGUUUAGAGUCACUAUUUUAAAUGUGACUGUGAUGAAGCAUUUAAGCAAAUGUGAAACCAUUUUUGCAAAGCAUUUAUAGUCUUUUGACUUUUGACAGAGCUAUAAAUAGAAGCAAAAUAAUUUCCUCAAACAUUUUUUUUUGUUAUCGUGUCUCAGAAAUGGCAUAUCCCUUUUGAAUAACAUGUUAUACAGUAUAGUAUGCAUAAAUAUUACACUACAAUGCAUUAAAAUAAUUUUAUAUAUAUAUCUAUCAUAUAUAUCUCCAGUAUGUGUGAGUUUAUCCGUAUUAAGAGAGUCGGUGUUGUGCUAUUGUUACUGUAAAGUUAAACUGGCCAUUUCUGAGACAGCUUUGGUUUCAAAAAAAAAAGAAUGGUACUUAAAGCCAUGAUGUGCUCUAAAAGAUACACAGUUGUGGUUUUGCUUGGCACAUUCAUCUCUGUCAGAUCCCUCCCUCACCACAUCUUAAAAUCUAUUACAUUAAAAAUAUUACUCUUAAACAAAAAUGACUGUGCAUGCACGCUCUCAUCUAUAAUGGCAAUUUUAAAUACAAGGUGCACCUUUGUUAUUUGUAAACCUUGAAAGAAAUAAACUUAUUUUUAAAAAAUUAUAUCUUGGUCUACAGACGUACCAAUACAUAAUAGAAUCGUGGUUACACCAUAGUCUGUCUUUUCAAGAUGGCAUGAAUAUAUAGGAAACUAAUUAGGUAUGCAUAUUUUAAUGCAUAACUCUGUGCUAGAAAAGAAAGACAAUGUUGUUCUUGUAGACAGGAAUAUCACCUCAGCACAAAUAUCAAUUAAAUGUACAAAGUGUAUAGGCAACAGUGUGCAGUGGGUUUCCAUGUUGUCUUGUCUUCUGGUUAACAUGCAAUAUGUGGAUGUCUCGUGGCUGAGGGGCUCGUGUGUGUGUUGCUUGACGGUAUAUACAAUAUGGCUAAUGACCUCGUCCUUUACUCUAACCAAGCACACUGUCCUUUCCUCUUUAGUAUGAUCUACAAGGGAAAAAGAGACAAUCUUUGUUAAAACGGACAAUAUCUAAAAACAGUUUCUAAUAUAUAUUUAGUAUGAAAAUUGUAUUUCUUGAUUUAAAAUGUGAACACAUGUAGCUAUCACAUCUUCAUAUAAGAUCCAACACUUCACAAGUACAAAUGGAUCUAAGUUUGUUAUCAUCUCUAUGAGAAUAAAAUGACAUGCACAGCUUAACACAAUUGUAGACUCUGCUUUAAUAUCACCCAACACUAAGAGGACAGUAUAAAAUCCACGUGCAGAGUCAAGGGGCACAACAGAGCAGACAGCGCUCUUCUUCAGCACUCUCGUCGUGGGCCAGAAUUUAACUCUUUCUUCUCUUCUAAAGUUCAAUGGGUUUCCAGAGCAAUGAUCUGGCCUACAAAAUUAAAAUCCACGCAACCAUAAGUCCUAUUAAACACGAUUCACUGUAUUUGGGUGCUCGAUUAGGAUGGUAUGAAUUUGGAAAAAAAACCAAAAACAGAAUGACACUUUAAGUGACUGUUUGGAAUAAUUUAAAGGGUUUUUUUCCCCUAAAGCCAAGAAAAAUAAAGACUGUUUCUUAUGCUCCUGAGGAAUUAAGGUUGAACAGACAUUACAAUGUACUUCUAAAUUAAUAGUUCUAGUUUUUACAUAGAGUUUGUUCUCAUCAGAGAAUCGUUACAUAUUAAAAGAAUGCUUUAGAAUAAAUACAAUCUUGAGAUUGAAAGAAAUCACCGUUUUGCUGCAUCAAAAACCUGUUUAAAUAUUGCAACUCCUCCUGAAAAUGAGCAAGCAUUUGUUAAGUAAACAGAACAUGAAGAACCUAAGCUUGAAGGCAGACAAAUCCACUGGUUUGCUAAUUGAUGGACUUAGGGCCAUUUGGUCUCAUUUGUUUCAACCUGGAUUGCUACUAAGAAAUAGAACACAGUUACAGAUAUACAUACCAAAUACACCCAAUUGACUAUAAAAGCCUGAAACAGAUUUUUUAAACAUGUCAAAGGGGUACCCUUCUUCUAAAUCUACAUGCUACGGAGCAAUGUGCUUAUUCAAAACUGUGGCUCCUGUUCAGAGUAUUGAACCUCACCACCAGGACUGCACUGAGGGCACUUAGAAAACAGACAAAAAUCCGCAUCAAGAAUUUAAUUUCUCACUGCAGUGUGUGCCUGGUAGCACUCUCAGAUCGAGUCUGUCAUUUCUUUCUCACAUGGCUCUCAAACUUUGCGUGUCUCUUCUCCUGCAG
rnacentral:lncRNA from 1 species